CCCGUUGUGCUGCCAUAACAAAAUACUUUAGACUGAGUAAUUUAUAAAUAAUAGAAAUUUAUUUCUCACAGUUCUGGAGGCUGGGAAGUCCAAGACUGAGGCACCACCAGUCGAUGCAGUAUCUGGUGAAGGCUUGCUCUCUGCUUCACAGAUGGUCCCUCUUGUCAUGCCCUCAGGUGAUGAAAAUGGGAAAGGCUAUGUCCUCACAUGGUGGAAGAAGCAGAAUGGGUGAACAGCUCCCUCACAUCAUUUUUAAGGUCACUAAUCCUAUUUACAAGGGCUCUGUCCUCAUGACCUAAUCAGCUCUGAAACGGUCCAGCUCUUAAUAUUGUCACAUGGAUGAUUAAGUUUCAACAUAUGAAUUUUGGUGGGACACUUUUGUACCAUAGAAGCAACUGUAAACACCAUCUAUCACUGUAUUAAUUAUUAAUGUGGCUUCAAUCUACUGUCCUGAAAAAAAUAACAUGAAUUUACCUCUAUCCUCUGUGAGGCUUUGUCAGAAUAGAUUCCUCCUAGUUUCUCAAAAUUUCUUGAAAUCUGGCCACAUCUGUUUGUGGCUAGAUUUUGCAAAGCCCUUCAUGUGAAGUGUUGAAGGCAUCAGACUGAUUCCAGUGUUAUUAAAUGUUCAAAACUGUAGAGGUUAAUGCUAAACAGACCUGCACAGCUACUCUAGGGUAAAAUUAAUUCUCAAAUGCCCUCACUGACACUUUUCAGCAUCUUCUCCAGCAGACGUUUCUGACUGCUGCCGGCCUAGGCUCUGUUAAUGGAGGUUUAUAAAGGCCUUCACAAUUCCUAUGGUAACCCAGGAGAAGGGCUGUUGCCAUGGGGACUAGUGAAGCCUAUAUAAACCUUCCAUCUCCAUCAGACAGAUGAGACGGGAUGUAAGAAUGAAUCCUUCGCUAGUUCAUCUCCAGAAAUUGCUAAUAAUUAUCUCUGUUUUUGGAAAAAGAUUCUUCAUUUCUUUCAGAGCACCAGCCCCAAAUCAUAACAGAAAUUUGAAUGGAAGGAGGCAUGAACCUGAGAAAAAGGGGAGAGAAGGAAAGAUGCACCCAGAAUGAAAGAAGACACAGUGUCAAAAAUAAUAAUGGCUCAUACCUAUUGGGUAUUCAUACCUAUGUGCCAAGCAUUAUUCUUCAAGCUUCCAGGUGUUCAC
rnacentral:lncRNA from 13 species